rnacentral:rRNA from 1 species
AGUGAACGCUGGCGGUAGGCCUAACACAUGCAAGUCGAACGGCAGCACAGUAAGAGCUUGCUCUUACGGGUGGCGAGUGGCGGACGGGUGAGGAAUACAUCGGAAUCUACUUUUUCGUGGGGGAUAACGUAGGGAAACUUACGCUAAUACCGCAUACGACCUACGGGUGAAAGCAGGGGAUCUUCGGACCUUGCGCGAUUGAAUGAGCCGAUGUCGGAUUAGCUAGUUGGCGGGGUAAAGGCCCACCAAGGCGACGAUCCGUAACUGGUCUGAGAGGAUGAUCAGACACACUGGAACUGAGACACGGUCCAGACUCCUACGGGAGGCAGCAGUGGGGAAUAUUGGACAAUGGGCGCAAGCCUGAUCCAGCCAUACCGCGUGGGUGAAGAAGGCCUUCGGGUUGUAAAGCCCUUUUGUUGGGAAAGAAAAGCAGCAGGUUAAUACCCCGCUGUUCUGACGGUACCCAAAGAAUAAGCACCGGCUAACUUCGUG